rnacentral:hammerhead_ribozyme from 17 species
CAAGCGUCUGGGGUAAGGAGUCGCAACCUCACUGACGAGUCUAGGCACUGACUCCGAGACGAAACGCAAU